UGCUGUUUACAGCAAAUGGGAUCUAGCUCCUGUGAUUCAGUUCUCUGGCUCGUGGUGGGCAUCUAGCAUGCAUAACCCUUUUCUAUAGAGCUGCCAAAGAGGGAACUCACAGGAGCUGAAAUCACUUAGCAUCUUAAGACUGGUAUCAGAAUGGAGACCUGUAUCUCCAGGUACAGACCC
rnacentral:lncRNA from 1 species